UUUUUUACACAUUUGCUGAUUUUUAGGACUGUAGGUGAAAGUCAGUUUUGUUUUUGUUCUGUUGCCAUGGCAACACAUUUGCAUUUUCUCCUAACGUAUACCAAUUCUAGCAAGUUUUCCUUCACAGUGGGUCGUUUAAAGUCGAGCCCGGUCUGCAUAACGAGAGUGUCCAAAAAUUGCUGCAACUUAAAAACAAUUUGUGGCCUCACAAGUGACUGUGGAGUAAAAGCAUUCCAGUUCCCAACAGAUCCUGUGGAACCAGAACUUUGAGAGCAACGGGACAGGAAGUUGACAACCCCUGCAGAACACCUCAGGCUAGCAGGCGGGCCGGACCGAAGGUCCCAGAGCCGUCUGACCGGCGCCCUUCACCCUUGCUGCCAGUAGGAGCCAAACCCCGAGCUGGAGUCAGAUGUUGGGUCAUCCCUGUAAGGUGACUUUGAGACAGUUCAACCUCCAGGUGGAUCCUGCCCAUCCUGUCAUCACUCCCCGACAUCCCAGCCACCCGGAAUUCCUUCACUGUUUGCAAAGAGAGCUGCGGCUGCAGUUGCAGGCGGUGUGCAAUUACCCUUUCAGUGCCGGCGAGCCCAUCUGACCCCGCUGACGGAGCACCAGGAAAGCUCUUUCAAACAACGGAGGAUCAGAGAGAAUUAUGGGAACUCCAGACUGGGUGGCAGCGGUGGCGGUGUAACGGCUCCGUCAGCGUCUGGGAUCACACCUUGGCACUGUGGAUUUUCUGGAGCAUGAAUCGGGCCGUGGCAGAUGCUGCACGUCUGGUGGCUCCUGCUGGGCCUGCAGCCUGUCAUGCACUUUCACAAAACUGUGCAUGACAUAGGGAACUUUCUUUAUUCCCUUCAAGACAGAUCAAUGAGGCCAUAAGCCAAUAAAAGCAUGAAUACAA